ACGCAUGGCCCUUCACAACGGAUCGUUCGGCGCGUACCUGCCGAUGAAAGGACGACCAU
rfam:Bifidobacterium subtile strain LMG 11597 Contig06, whole genome shotgun sequence.